GCAAUCCUACAAGUUGGAGAUCUUCCACUGAAAAUCAAGAAGAUGAGAAGGGAAGAAGGAAAGUCUACGGAUGUUUUAUUCCAUAUUCAGGCAUAAAUUAAUGACAUACUUUGUCAUAAUAUUUGAGCUCAUAUCCCCCUACUGCCUCAGUGGCAAUUCUUCAUAUACUCCAGAUGAUCACAGAAGAUUAAUCUAUACGGUAGAGGGGAUUUGUUAAAUCAGUCCACGAUUUUCUCUUUUUCCAUGAGAUGCACCAGAGAAAUGCUAGAUUAAUUUGCAGGUGGAGCAAAGGCCUGGAACUUCACUGCUCAUAAGAAAAAGUUGCCAUGGAAUUUCAUUGUUUUCUGGAACGUUCAGUGAAAUUUUCUGUGCUUUGGAUGACAUGUGAGAAGCAAUCAAGAGUGUCACACUCUAAAGAGAAGGGUAAAAAUCUCACCUCAGAGAAAAGACCUUCACUCUAAUCUCGGCGUGGCCACCAGCCAGCGCCUCUCUUCUUUACCUAAUUAAUUUCUUGGAACCCCUUUCAUGGACUAAUUCAUGAUUUCUCUGAACCCUCGAUUGGGUGUUGUUUCCUGCUGCCCUGUGCCUUGAGCCAGAAACACGACACAAGGUGGGAUCCUGGACCAGAAAAAGGACAACUGGGGACAUUCAGAAGGUCUGUGGAUGAGGUCAUCAUGUUGAAUCGAUGAUCGUUCCCUGGUUUCGACCGCGGCCCCUCAGUUGUGUGAGAUGACAACAUUCAGGGAGUGGGGGCAGGUGAAUCCGGGAACUCUCUGGACUUCUGUAAGCAUGAAAUCAUUUCAAAAUGAAAUGUUACAGUGUUGCUAACACCAAGGUCAAGGGUUUAGAUCCCCACACUGGCCAG